GACGAACGCUGGCGGCGUGCUUAACACAUGCAAGUCGAACGGAAAGGCCCUGCUUUUGUGGUGUGCUCGAGUGGCGAACGGGUGAGUAACACGUGAGUAACCUGCCCUUGACUUUGGGAUAACUUCAGGAAACUGGGGCUAAUACCGGAUAGGAGCUCCUGCUCCAUGGUGGGGGUUGGAAAGUUUCGGCGGGUGGGGAUGGACUCGCGGCUUAUCAGCUUGUUGGUGGGGUAGUGGCUUACCAAGGCUUUGACGGGUAGCCGGCCUGAGAGGGUGACCGGCCACAUUGGGACUGAGAGACGGCCCAGACUCCUACGGGAGGCAGCAGUGGGGAAUAUUGCACAAUGGGCGGAAGCCUGAUGCAGCAACGCCGCGUGCGGGAUGACGGCCUUCGGGUUGUAAACCGCUUUCGCCUGUGACGAAGCGGGAGUGACGGUAAUGGGUAAAGAAGCACCGGCUAACUACGUG
rnacentral:rRNA from 1 species